AGCGAACGCUGGCGGCAGGCCUAACACAUGCAAGUCGAGCGCCCCGCAAGGGGAGCGGCAGACGGGAGAGUAACACGUGGGAACAUGCCCUUCAGUACGGAACAACCAAGGGAAACUUUGGCUAAUACCGUAUACGCCCGUAAGGGGAAAGAUUUAUCGCUGAAGGAUUGGCCCGCGUCUGAUUAGCUAGUUGGUGGGGUAAUGGCGCACCAAGGCGACGAUCAGUAGCUGGGCUGAGAGGAUGAUCAGCCUCACUGGGACUGAGACAUGGCCCAGACUCCUACGGGAGGCAGCAGUGGGGAAUAUUGGACAAUGGGCGCAAGCCUGAUCCAGCCAUGCCGCGUGAGUGAUGAAGGCCUUAGGGUUGUAAAGCUCUUUCGUCAGGGAAGAUAAUGACGGUACCUGAAGAAGAAGCCCCGGCUAACUUCGUGCCAGCCGCCGCCGUAAUAC
rnacentral:rRNA from 1 species